rnacentral:rRNA from 1 species
UACGGAGGGUGCAAGCGUUAUCCGGAUUCACUGGGUUUAAAGGGUGCGUAGGCGGUCAGGUAAGUCAGUGGUGAAAUCUCCGAGCUUAACUCGGAAACUGCCAUUGAUACUAUUUGUCUUGAAUAUUGUUGAGGUAAGCGGAAUAUGUCAUGUAGCGGUGAAAUGCUUAGAUAUGACAUAGAACACCAAUUGCGAAGGCAGCUUACUACACAAUGAUUGACGCUGAGGCACGAAAGCGUGGGGAUCAAACAGG